ensembl:snoRNA SNORA70 Small nucleolar RNA SNORA70
AUGCAGCCAAUUAAGCCGACCGUGUUCCUCUUGUCAUGGGAUCCGGUGUGCAAUGGCUGCAAACAGCAGCUUCCUUGGUUGUGUUCGUAACCUGCUCCUUGUACAGGUUGCUUUAAGGGACCUCGGAGACAGCU